GGAUCAGUAAGGGAUCACAAACGAUGCCUUAAUUAGUGAUUUAUGCUCCUUCUAGAGUUGUGAAAAAAAUGUUUUGUCUGAGCCACUUCAUUCAAAAAUCGGAAUGGACGAUGUUUGGCCACAUUGAGGUUCGGCUCUUUAAAAUGUCGUUAACGAAAACGAUUUGGGAAAACAAAACAGAUGAACCAAAAGGGUGCGACAUGGGACAAUACGGCCACUACUAAAC